AACCAUUCUCACCUGCGGCUAGACCUGCGGAAGGAUCAUUACCGAGUGUGGCCCCCUUUCUAUAUAAGAGGGGUACCUCCCGUCCUUUGCAGGGCCCUUUAGGGGCUUUUUGAACUUUGCUUCGGCGGGGUUACUCCGCCGGAUCACCCUCAAGAAAAUCUUUUUUUUAAAAAACUGUUUGUCUGAGCGCUUUCAAAAAUAAAAACAAAACUUUUAACAAUGGAUCUCAGAUCGGAAGAG
rnacentral:misc_RNA from 1 species